AUCUUUAGGGGGCCUGAGAGGGUGAUCCCCCACACUGGUACUGAGACACGGACCAGACUCCUACGGGAGGCAGCAGUGAGGAAUAUUGGACAAUGGGUGAGAGCCUGAUCCAGCCAUCCCGCGUGAAGGACGACGGCCCUAUGGGUUGUAAACUUCUUUUGUAUAGGGAUAAACCUACUCUCGUGAGAGUAGCUGAAGGUACUAUACGAAUAAGCACCGGCUAACUCCGUGCCAGCAGCCGCGGUAAUACGGAGGGUGCAAGCGUUAUCCGGAUUUAUUGGGUUUAAAGGGUCCGUAGGCGGAUCUGUAAGUCAGUGGUGAAAUCUCACAGCUUAACUGUGAAACUGCCAUUGAUACUGCAGGUCUUGAGUGUUGUUGAAGUAGCUGGAAUAAGUAGUGUAGCGGUGAAAUGCAUAGAUAUUACUUAGAACACCAAUUGCGAAGGCAGGUUACUAAGCAACAACUGACGCUGAUGGACGAAAGCGUGGGGAGCGAA
rnacentral:rRNA from 1 species